rnacentral:rRNA from 1 species
CCUACGGGUGGCAGCAGUGGGGAAUAUUGGACAAUGGGCGAAAGCCUGAUCCAGCCAUGCCGCGUGUGUGAAGAAGGCCUUCGGGUUGUAAAGCACUUUCAGUGGGGAAGAAAGCCUUGGGGCUAAUACCCUCGAGGAAGGACAUCACCCACAGAAGAAGCACCGGCUAACUCCGUGCCAGCAGCCGCGGUAAUACGGAGGGUGCGAGCGUUAAUCGGAAUUACUGGGCGUAAAGCGCGCGUAGGCGGUCUGAUAAGCCGGUUGUGAAAGCCCCGGGCUCAACCUGGGAACGGCAUCCGGAACUGUCAGGCUAGAGUGCAGGAGAGGAAGGUAGAAUUCCCGGUGUAGCGGUGAAAUGCGUAGAGAUCGGGAGGAAUACCAGUGGCGAAGGCGGCCAUCUGGACUGACACUGACGCUGAGGUGCGAAAGCGUGGGUAGCAAACAGGAUUAGAUACCCUUGUAGUC